rnacentral:rRNA from 1 species
AUACGAAGGGUGCAAGCGUUACUCGGAAUUACUGGGCGUAAAGCGUGCGUAGGUGGUUGUUUAAGUCUGUCGUGAAAGCCCUGGGCUCAACCUGGGAAUGGCGAUGGAAACUGGGCGACUAGAGUGUGGCAGAGGGUAGUGGAAUUCCUGGUGUAGCAGUGAAAUGCGUAGAGAUCAGGAGGAACAUCCGUGGCGAAGGCGACUGCCUGGGCCAACACUGACACUGAGGCACGAAAGCGUGGGGAGCAAACAGGAUUAGAUACCCUGGUAGUCCACGCUCUAAACGAUGCGAACUGGAUGUUGGGUGCAAUUUGGCACGCAGUAUCGAAGCUAACGCGUUAAGUUCGCCGCCUGGGGAGUACGGUCGCAAGACUGAAACUCAAAUGAAUUGACGGGG